AGCAGCCGCGGUAAUUCCAGCUCCAAUAGCGUAUAUUAAAGUUGUUGCAGUUAAAAAGCUCGUAGUUGAAUUUCGGGGUCAGUAGAUUGGUCAUGCCACUGGUAUGUACUGGUCUCACUGAUUCCUCCUUCCUGAUGAGCCGUAAUGCCAUUAAUUUGGUGUUGCGAGGAAUCUGGACUGUUACUUUGAAAAAAUUAGAGUGUUUAAAGCAGGCUAACGCUUGAAUACAUUAGCAUGGAAUAAUGAAAUAGGACGUCCGAUCUUAUUUUGUUGGUUUCUAAGAUUGACGUAAUGAUUAAUAGGGAUAGUUGGGGGCAUUAGUAUUCAAUUGUCAGAGGUGAAAUUCUUGGAUUUAUUGAAGACUAACUACUGCGAAAGCAUUUUGCCAAGGAUGUUUUCAUUAAUCAAGAACGAAAGUUAGGGGAUCGAAGACGAUCAGAUACCGUCGUAGUCUUAACCAUAAACUAUGCCGACUAGGGAUCGGAUGAUGUUAAUUUUUUAAUGACUCA
rnacentral:rRNA from 1 species